GAAAGGCAGGGGGGAGUGCGACCCAAGGAGGGGACUGAGGAGAGCAGGACUUCUGCCUGAGGCCGUGCGUCUACGUGCGCGCAAAGAACACUCCCGUUUGCCUCACUAAAUGCCACGCAAGUCACUCGCAGUCGAUCCCCUAACACACACGAAGGUCACUCACGAAGCCCUCACUAAGGUCAACACGAGCCCACAGGUCUGACUGGGUUCGACCCAGAAGGAAAACAGGAAGGAAAAGAGAAGGCACCGAGACCUGGGGUCAAUCACCAGAGCCACAGCCGGCUCGUGGGGAGUGAGCGCGGAAAGCCGCGUCAAGGGUCUGACGACCGUAGAGUCUGCCUGGCCUGCGGCUGAGACCCCACACGGACACCGCACCCCUGCGGCCCAGGUGCGGUGCUGAGUUCGAGGUGUGCUAGCGGCGGCCCUUCCGUCUGAAGCGAAGCUCCGAGGAGAAGAGCCCCGUGUGGCAGACUCGGGGACCCCACCACGCUCCACACGUCCCUCGUCCCGCCCCCAAGGCUCCCCCAGCCCUGCCCCCUUGUUCCACGUGCCUGUCCCAGCAGUCUCGCCAGCGGUCGGUCGCUGGCAGCACCUUCCUCCACACCCUCCAGCCUUCACCUAGUCUGUUCCCUCUCCCUGGAAGGCUCUUCCAUUUCCUUGCUACUGAGCUCUUUCUCCGGAUCCUGAGACUCCUUGGGACCCUCACUGACCCUGCCCCUCCCUGGGGCCACCCUUCGGGCCCCUCCCCCACUCCUGGGCAGCAGGUGGAGGCCGCGGUGUACUUGUCUACCUGUUCCUUCUUCCUGGAGUCCCAGAGCCUUUCAAGGAGCAUCAGACGCCCUACUCAUCCCCAGCACCCAACUCUUGCAUCAGAUGCUGAAUGAAUGAAAUACUAGGGGUCAAGAAUGCAGGCAGUUCUUUUGAAAGAGAAAAUACCAGUAACAACCUUGCAUCUUGUGUUUAAAAACUCAAAAAGGGUCCCUCAGUAAGAAGUGAAGGAAGCCAGUCCUUUUAAAGGCAGAUUUUGUUCCAGAACGACAGGUCCGUCUCCACAGACACGAGCGCUGCACAAGUAUCCUCUUCCGACCGACAGGCUGGAAAGCUUUUCCAAGGCUUUGGUUUCCUUGACAACAGCAGUGCCAGAGACAAGUAGAGAGAUAAUUAAAAAGUAUGUUCCCUUUGCUUCGAA